UUAAUUAUCCAGUAAUCACGAACGGCUGUGAUUGGUCUAUCCAUAGAUAUAUAAAUACCUAGACGCCUCAUUGGCCGCUCGACCGCACGUCAACGUCGCCGCCAUAUUGGAGCGGGCAACUCUCACAUCAGGAAAGAAGAAAACAUACCAGACUCAUUGACAGAUUGGACACCUAAAAACCGUCACACGAUAAUAAAAACAGAUCUUGGGGUGUUAUCUUUCACAGUAAUUUGCGAACGGGACAAGGACAGCCUUAAGGAAGAACAUCUCUGCAUUAAUCACUUAAUCGUUUGAUUCUGAUUCAUUCAGACAUUUCUUAUAAUGUUGAUACAAAUGCUAAUACUGCACUCAUGUUUAAAAUAAAAGAUGACAUAAUCAUUCAUAAAAAAAAAAAAAAACUUUUAAACCCAGCAAAGAAAUAAUGGAUGUUGCAUUAAGUAAUUUAUUUUCUCAUUACAUACAGUCAAGUAUAUUACAGAUCUCUUCAUACUCGAUAUAAAAUUAUAUUAAUUGGCGUCUAUAUUCAGAUUUGAGAGGUUAAAGGGCAGAGAGCAUGAUCACUAUACAGCGGAUUCCUCACUGCUUCCUCACAUCAGCAAUAAUCUGGGGAAGAAAAAAAUAUUACACUCUGUAUUCCAGUGCUAAUAUAUGAACAUCAUGAAACCAAGACAUUGGCAGGGGAUGCAUAAUUACCUCAGAUAUGAAUCUUUAUUAUCUACUCAAUAUAUUUAUUUUUACAUUUUUAUUGGUUAAUUCUUAAAACGGGGAAAAAAAAAUCUGCCAGAGGUGAAAACUAUUGUUCUUCUUAGCCGCUGCCAGAUAUUUGUUCUUCUCGAUUUAAGGAUGUUCAGAUAUCUGAGGAAAAAGAGGAAGAGAGCAUCAUUCUCUGUGGUGAAGAAGAACACCAUGACCUUCAUCAAAUUAAAAUCUCUCGUGUUUGUGCCCGAGUCGAACGGUGACAGGUAAAAGGAAAGAGUAAAAAAUUAACCCUUGAAAAUCUUCCUAAAACAUACGUCUGCAGGAGCCUCGAUGAUUAUAAAUAUGCUUUAUCUUUAUCACAGUAUAAUUUCAUCAAGCCUUGUGUUUUCAACUCCAUAUUUAUACUGAAAAUAAAAGUAGCUGUGAUCUUA